rnacentral:rRNA from 1 species
UACGUAGGGUGCAAGCGUUGUCCGGAAUUACUGGGCGUAAAGCGCGCGCAGGCGGUCUUCCAAGUCAGUGGUGAAAGCCCGGAGCUCAACUCCGGAACUGCCAUUGAAACUGUUAGACUUGAGGAUGAGAGAGGUGAGUGGAAUUCCCAGUGUAGAGGUGAAAUUCGUAGAUAUUGGGAAGAACACCGGUGGCGAAGGCGGGUCUCUGGGCCGAUAUUGACGCUGAGGAGCGAAAGCGUGGGGAGCGAACAGG